rnacentral:lncRNA from 1 species
AUAAUUUAUUAUUUCAUAAAAGUUACAUUAAAUGAAUUACUCACAAUUAAUGAAUGAUUUAGAGCUUGUAUUUUCAAAUAUCAAUGGAGAAAAUAAUAUUACAAAAAGAAAAAAAUAAUUUAAAUCGAAUAUAUUAAUAUGUAAUAUUACAAAAAGAAUUUGUGUAAUUUUCUGGUCUUGAUGAAUGGUGUGAAAAAAGCUUUAUUCCGACAUCCAAAUUGUCAGUCUCGGAAGACCAGUUGUGAGAAAGCUUUGCACAGAAUGAUCCACAAGAUAAGGCUGGUCGCAGCACUGAAAACAAACACUUAAUAAGCACAAGUUAAAAAGGCAAAUAUUUCUUCAAAAUCAUAGCAACCAAGCCAAGUAAAUGACAGAGCAUAUAAUAAAAGAUCAUCAGCUGACUCGAUCACAAUACUGCUCAAUUUGCACACUGGAAAGCCGGACAGGAACACAAUAUUCAGCAAAUAUAGACGUGCCAACAACCUCCAUGUGUAGGUAAUAUGUUGAAGUAUCAUUUAAAGACACUGUUAAAACCUGCCUAACUCGAUGGUCAUUCACACAGAUUUCUUCAUCACAUCAUUAAUGCAUCUAUGUUAAAUAAAUAUCACCACAAAUAAUGUUAACAAGUCUGAAGCAGAUUAUGCAAUAUACUAAUGUUUCUUAAACAGAAAGCCAAUCCCUGUUGAGCUUCUAACUUUUGAAAGUCAUUCAUUUAUGACAACGGAAGCUCAAAUCUUAGCUUGGUCAACUAACUAGGAGAAGAUGUCUCUCUGACCUACUGCUAAUGCAUGUAUCUCUUUGAUUGUACAUCAUUAAUUCGCAACAGUCAUUACAUCAUUAAUUUAUGACUUCAAUUAUUACCUAGAAAUAAAAAGCAGUUACCAUGUGGUUUCUGACUGUACAUCUAAAGACAAAACAUUUGCGUUUCAAGGUACCCAACUCUACUUGAUUCCUCUCAUUUUCAAUCAAGCGAAAUCUCGAGCUAUAUUGCAGAAAAGCAGAAGAAUGAUGCAUGUAAAUCUUAGUUUUCACAAGGGAACUGAUAAAUGCAUUCAAUAUUUCACCAAAUGCAGUCAACUGUAGAAUACAACUUUUUCUUUAACCUUGCAGUGGAGUACAUCCAGUCAAAAGUGCAGGGCAUUUAACAUCUCCAUUUUUACAAUAGCUUCAGUGCCUUUAUAACAAAAACAAACCAAACUCCAACGGUACUGUUCAUAAAUAACCAAUUAUCUCACCCGUUCAACAAAUAUCACUGUCUGGAAUGCCUUCCACUUUGGUAACAGAUUAGCAUCCUAAAUCAUCAAAUCAACACUUCAAGAAGAAAUGGUAAGACAAGUACUUGCAAGGAAGACAAGUUUUAUCCUAACAACAGAACGUCAAUAAACUGUAACUAUAAUCACUUACUAAAAACAAAAACAAUAAUGCUACAAACACGGUGUGCUUGAAAAAGGAGUAGAAGAUUUACAAAAUUCUCUGGAUAUAUCAUACCUUGUCCUUGUCCUGGAUAUCAGGCAUCGAAAAGCUCAAGUCCAGCUUAGCUACCUCAUUAGGUGGAGACAACUAGUAGCAAGUCAACCAAAAAUGGGUUAGGAAAGUAUAAAAGUUCCAUAGAUAAGGAAUGUUAACAAAAACUCCGAAUACAUCAGUGCUGUAAAAUAUCAGACUAGAAAAUCAUAUCUAUGAGUCAAAAAAACAUACAGUUACACUAAACAGAGAAACAAAACAAAAAUACCUGGUCAAUCGCUUAAGGGUUUUGACGAUUUGACAGAUGAAUCGCACGAAAAAGGAGAGAGGCUCGCAAUCGAUCAGAAAUCGCAGUAGGGUCAGAUUAUCACAGCAGGAGAGAGAGUUUACUCGAAAUCGCAGCAGAUGAUGGAAUCACACAUAGAAGGGUUUGGUUUAGAGGAUUCGCUUGAAAUCGAAAUCGCAGCAGGUUUUAGGAAUCGAAAUCGCAACAGAAAUCGGUUUAGGAACUGAAAUCGCAUUACAUAUCGUAUCAGUCGCAGGGGUUCGCAGCAGUCGCAGAGGUUCGCAACAGUCGCAGCAGAAAUCGGUUUAGGGAGGGAGGGUUUAUGCGAAGUCCAGCAGUCGCAGAGGUUCGCAACAGUCGCAGCAGAAAUCGGUUUAGGGAGGGAGGGAGGGUUUAUGCGAAGUCGCAGGGAGGGUUUAUGCGAAGUGCAGAUCUGAUAUUAGAUAGAGAUCCGCUACUUCAAUUAGCGGAUUUGAGGAGGGCAAAUUAGACUUAAACUUUUGUUUUCAUAGUCCGCCACUUCGUCUAGCGAA